GGCCUCGUCGUCUAUCGGAUAGGACAUGGCCCUUUCAAGGCCAAAAGACGGGUUCAAUUCCCGUCGAGGCCG
rnacentral:tRNA from 1 species